GCCCGGGUGGCUUAGUGGUCAUAGCGCCGCACUCAUAGGGUUUCGAGAUUCGGUGCGGCCAUCGGUGGCUCGCAUCUCAGGUCGACCGAGCCUUGGACCUGGGACAUGCGGAGGUCGAGGGUUCGAACCCCUCCCCGGGCA
rnacentral:tRNA from 1 species